rnacentral:rRNA from 1 species
GACCGCAUGGGAGUGAGAAUGCAGACAUGAGUAGCGAAAGACGGGUGAAGAUCCCGUCCGCUGGACGACCAAGGGUUCCAGGGCCACGUUCAUCGUCCCUGGGUGAGUCGGGUCCUAAGGCGAGGCCGACAGGCGUAGUCGAAUGGAUGAACGGGUCGAUAUUCCCGUACCGGCAUGCAACCGACAAAACCGAAUCCGCGAGUACUAACCUCCGGGUCCGGGCUUACGUCUCCUUCGGGAGCCGGAUGCCCUGGCCUGUUGGGACCGUAACGGUAGUAGGUCAGCGCGGGAGUGACGCAGAAGGGUAGCCGGCCGCGGAGGUGGUCUUCCGUGGUCAAGCACGCAGCCCGUCCCACAGGCAAAUCCGUGGGGCGCGUGGGCGAGGUGCGAUGAUGGGCGCCGCAGGGCGCGAUAUCCGGUGAUCCCGGCUGCCGAGAAAAGCUUCGGCGUGAGGCGGCGUGCCGCCCGUACCCCAAACCGACACUGGUGGUCAGGUAGAGAAUACCAAAGCGAUCGAGCGAAUCCUGGUCAAGGAACUCGGCAAAUCACUCCCGUUCCUUCGGUUUAAGGGAGACCCCCGAUGGUGAAGCGGCUUGCCCGUGGAGCUUUUGGGGGUGGCACAGACCAGGGGGUAGCGACUGUUUACCAAAAACACAGGAGCGUGCGAAGGCGCAAGCCGCUGUAUACGCUCUGACGCCUGCCCGGUGCCGGAAGGUUAAGAGGAUCCGUCAGGCUUCGGCCGAAGCGGUGAAUUCAAGCCCCGGUAAACGGCGGUGGUAACUAUAACCAUCCUAAGGUAGCGAAAUUCCUUGUCGGGUAAGUUCCGACCUGCACGAAUGGCGUAACGACUUCCCCACUGUCUCGACCAGGAGCUCGGCGAAAUUGCAGUACGAGUAAAGAUGCUCGUUAAGCGCAGAAGGACGAAAAGACCCCGGGACCUUUACUAUACCUUGGUAUUGGCAUUCGGUGUGGAUUGUGUAGCAUAGGCGGAAGGCUUCGAAGCCACGGCGCCAGCCGCGGUGGAGCCGCAAGGUGAAAUACCGCUCUGUUCGCAUUGGAUGUCUAACCUCGACCAGUCAUCCUGGUCAGGGACAGUGCCUGGCGGGUAGUUUAACUGGGGCGGUUGCCUCCCAAAGAGUAACGGAGGCGCUCAAAGGUUCCCUCAGCCCGGUUGGCAAUCGGGUGGCGAGUGUAAGUGCACAAGGGAGCUUGACUGCGAGACUGACGGGUC